CUAGCACAAGAAUCAAUGACUGGUGAAUCUCAAAAUUUGAUUAGGCAACAUGUCAUUAUUCAACUUGUUCUACUUCUAUAUUCUAUAUUCUACUUCUAUAUUUGCACCAAUGAAUAGAUAGUAAAAGCAGCGUCUAUUAAUUCAACAGCAGCAUCGGGCAAACCCGAUGUUCCUGAGAAAUUUCUGAGGAAGGUCAGUUCACUGCAAGUUGUCGUCUACGUUGUAUCAGUCAAAACCGAUCUUUAGGAUGGGCUUGCAAUAUUUUAUAUUUUUAUUCACAUUCUUUUAUUCAGGUUUAUAUACAGCAACUGGAGCUGACUGGAGUUAUUCGGGUGAACAUGGUCCAAAACAUUGGCCAGGCUUAUGCACGACAGGAAAGAAACAAUCGCCAAUUAACAUUGUCACUGAAGAUGCUGUAAAAACGGAUCUCGGUGAACUGAAAUUUAUAAAGUACAGUUUUGCUUUUGCUGGGGACGUCACCAAUAAUGGUCAUUCUGUAAAAAUACAAAUACGUCCUGCACCUAUUCGUUUGGAAGGAGCAAACCUUCCAAACUCGUACAUUUUGGAAGAAAUGCAUUUUCAUUGGCCUGCUGAGCACACUGUAGAUGUGAAUCGUGAUGUCUUAGAGGUACAUUUUGUGCACUAUAGCAAUAAGUAUCACAAUACUAGUAUGGCAGCACAAUAUGAUAAGGGUAUUGCUGUGGUUGCUAGUUUAUUCAAGUUGAGCAUCGAAGACAAUAUGGACAUAAUGCCAGUUAUAAAUUUAACGGAAUUAGUUUCAAAAGAUGUGGGUAAAAGCACAAGAAUAAAGGGGACUAUGGUAUUACCAUCCUGGUUCUUACCAAAGGACCACACUACCUAUUAUCAUUAUGAUGGCUCCUUAACCACUCCAGGAUGUCAGGAAUCUGUAAUGUGGUUCAUUUUAUCUGAGAAACUAUCGAUCUCAGAGGCACAGUUAAAUGUUUUUAAGAAUGUUGGAACGGAAAAUGGCACGUUAUGCUUCAAUUAUAGACCAACUCAGCCUCUUGAAGGGAGAACAGUGUACCAUCAUCUGGAGGGGUAUUCUGCAGCAUCCACCCUCCCAUCUAAUUUACUCUUGACUUGUCUCAGUUUAUUAUUAUGUAAACUGUUGCACUCAAAAUAAUAGAAAUAUUUAAUUGAGUACAAUUGUGAUCAGUCUUGUUGUGUUUAUUGAAUGAAGUGACUCAAAUAUAGGGUGUUCGAAAACGAAUGGUUGAAAAAUUUAAAAGGACACCGUAGAUCUACUUUAUGUUAGACGAACAUUUUUACGAUGUACAUCUUUUUUUGAGUCAACCUGUACAUUUGCACUUCAAGCACCUGAACGAAUCAUCGCAUACUCACGUUAUAUCAGUGAUAGACCAGUAAAAUACCGUUUACUUCUCAACGA